CGUGCGAAAAUAAAUAAAACAAGCUCCAAGAUAGAGCGUGGUUGCCCCUUGAGGUGUAGAUAGGAACAAAUGAUUCACACCACUUGGUUUGACUUUCCAUUGGACAUUAGUUCCAGACCGGACCUAUGUGCACCGAAUUAACACCCCACUACAAUCAAUGCAACGUAAAUUAAUCGAGACAAUUGGUACACCCCACCACUUGGUUUCACUCUGGUGCCUCUCUUCGACUCCAGC
rnacentral:lncRNA from 1 species